rnacentral:rRNA from 1 species
UACAGAGGGUGCAAGCGUUAAUCGGAAUUACUGGGCGUAAAGCGCACGCAGGCGGUUUGUUAAGUCAGAUGUGAAAUCCCCGAGCUAAACUUGGGAACUGCAUUUGAAACUGGCAAGCUAGAGUCUUGUAGAGGGGGGUAGAAUUCCAGGUGUAGCGGUGAAAUGCGUAGAGAUCUGGAGGAAUACCGGUGGCGAAGGCGGCCCCCUGGACAAAGACUGACGCUCAGGUGCGAAAGCGUGGGGAGCAAACAGG